CCAAACCACGUGUCAAAACACUGCAGGCGUGGAGCUAGGGAGAGUGCGUGCCGGAGGGGAGCGUAGUCUUCUUCUCACAACCGGAAUCUGCGCCUCUCUGCAUUGGCUGGCACAUCCGAGUAUCAAUAUAGAUGUCACUGAAAGUGAUAAGCAUUAAAAGCUUACUACAGACAGUACUGAUUUUAGAUCAGACAUAAUAAUUGACAACUGCAAAAAUAGAAGAGUAAAGGAGGCAUAUGUGGAGGUUCUCUACACCAAAGUUCUUUAUUGGGACAUCUGAUUUACAUGCUCGUAAGAGAAAGAAGAUGGGUCAUGCCUGCUAUUCAGCUUACAGUGGGAUAGUCACUGUACUGAAGAAGAGCAUAUAAAGACAAUGGAUGAAGAACCUCAACAGAAAGAUUAUAGAGGUAAGCACAAAUACCCACUUUAUAUAUCAUUGGGGUAGAUUCUUAGGGUUUUGUACAAAUGUGAAAAUGAAAUGACUAUGCUAAUGUGGGCAUUAGUCCUUAGGUCAUGAAUCCCACUACUGCAAAAAUGACUACCUCUCGCCCAAAGGUUGAAAUGACAGCCGCAGAAAAUGUAAGCACUUUGGGUGGUGCAAAUUCUGAGGCAAGCAUACCGUAGCCAAUCCUUGUGAAUCUUUUAAGCUCACACAGACAGGACACAAAGCAGAUGAAAUCAUAGUAAUGCUGUAUAGGGGAUCUGUCAGCUGUGUAUU